AUUGAACGCUGGCGGCACGCCUUACACAUGCAAGUCGAGCGGCAGCGCGCGGGCAACCCUGGCGGCGAGCGGCGGACGGGUGAGUAAUACAUCGGAACGUGUCCUUUCGUGGGGGAUAACCAGUCGAAAGACUGGCUAAUACCGCAUGAGAUCUCACGAUGAAAGCGGGGGACCGCAAGGCCUCGCGCGAUUGGAGCGGCCGAUGUCGGAUUAGCUAGUUGGCGGGGUAAAAGCCCACCAAGGCGACGAUCCGUAGCUGGUUUGAGAGAACGACCAGCCACACUGGGACUAAGACACGGCCCAGACUCCUACGGGAGGCAGCAGUGGGGAAUUUUGGACAAUGGGGGCAACCCUGAUCCAGCCAUGUCGCGUGUGUGAAGAAGGCCUUCGGGUUGUAAAGCACUUUCGGCCGGAACGAAAUCGCGCGGAUUAAUAACCCGCGUGGAUGACGGUACCGGAAGAAGAAGCACCGGCUAACUACGUGCCAGCAGCCGCAGUAA
rnacentral:rRNA from 1 species